rnacentral:sRNA from 1 species
UUUUUGCGUGAAGGAUUGAAGUGGCAUCCUUUUUUUGCUGGCAUAUAGGGCAAAAAAAGAUACAACGGAAAGCCUGACCCUAG